GAUGAAGAACGCAGCGAAAUGCGAUACGUAAUGUGAAUUGCAGAAUUCAGUGAAUCAUCGAGUCUUUGAACGCACAUUGCGCCCCCUGGUAUUCCGGGGGGCAUGCCUGUCCGAGCGUCAUUGCUGCCCUCAAGCACGGCUUGUGUGUUGGGCCUCCGUCCUCCUCCCGGGGGACGGGCCCGAAAGGCAGCGGCGGCACCGCGUCCGGUCCUCGAGCGUAUGGGGCUUCGUCACCCGCUCUUGUAGGCCCGGCCGGCGCUUGCCGACAGAUCAAUCUUUUUUCCAGGUUGACCUCGGAUCAGGUAGGGAUACCCGCUGAACUUAAGCAUAUCAAUAAGCGGAGGA
rnacentral:misc_RNA from 1 species